rnacentral:lncRNA from 1 species
UGAUGAUCCUAUGCCAACGUCUCUGGCAUCUAUUGAUACCAGCGUAAAUACACACCUGUCUGUUCCACGUGUGUGUGCGCUGGCUUUUUAAACGCGUCCAGAUUCCUUCGAUCUUAGUAGUGUUUUCUUUUUGCAUUACCGAAAUCUUUGUCCGCAAAUGCCAUUUUGGUGUCUUGAGGCCCUGCACGAUUCAGUUCGAAAGUAUUGGUCUUUCUCAAAACCUGUGUAGUCGCUGCCAGUCGUUCCUGGUGUGACCUGGUGGCUGCGCCAGACCAGCAGGAUGCGAGUUCUCGUCUUACUCGACUGUAUCCUAGUUUUUUCGCAUAUCUGUGGCCCUUUGCUUGGAUGCCAUCACGCGUCCGUCGCUAGACGAAAGAGACGGUUGCAGGUGGACGGUGAAUUGAGACUCGGUAUGGGCUCCCCGUAUGGUGUGUAGUGUGCCCCAAGCUUUUUACACGUUAUGGUUGUCGUUUCGAGAGUUGCAGUCAAGAUGGCAGCGAGCUCUGGGGCGCUUCCGUUCGCGGACUUCGGCUCCAUGAAACGGUACAAUGUAGUGCAGCUGCAGGAUCACCACCAUAAAUUGAAUAAACAUGAAGCGCGACGUUACAGCUUACCAGCUCCGAUCUUUCAUGAGAGGACACGCUUCACUUCUCUGGCUUCUGCAGAGGUGGAAACACCUCAGAAGUCGUAAUGAACAUAGUGAAUCCGUUCACACAGUGGCUGUCCCAUGCUCACCUAAGUUCUCCCUGCAUGUCGACGUACGAUUUGCGGCAUACGAAGAUGCACACGACGAGGGCGCUUCAUGCCUCACGGGAAGUAGUUCGCGUACGGGCACUCUACACUCUGGGUCAGAGUUAAUCACCCCGGAGCGUUUCCAGUCCAAGAGGAUGCCAGUUCCUCCGCAUGCCGAAUCGAACGUAGCCGCACAAAUUCAGAUGGACACACUGCAGCUGAGGAAAGUCAGGCUUUCAUUACUGGUUGGAGAGGAGAGCCUGAAGACCGGAACUCCCGUUCUGCGAUGAGACUCAAUGCAUGUCAGCGGGAAGCUCUCCUGAAUUACUUUCGUGUCCAGAUUUUCCCUCUGCUGCGUAUUAGGUUCCUUGGGCUGAGCCUCUUCUGCGUGAUUGUCAGACCUGUGUGGAAAUGGUGGGCCGGGCCUAUCGUGAAGGCCAUUGUGGGCGGCCAGAUCAUCAGCCACAUUCGUUCCCACAGGAUCCGCAACUCGCCAAGCAGGAUUAUUCUCGUCCAGGAAACAGAAACGUGGGUACCGGCGAACCGGGAUGGGUCCACGUACUUGCUGCACGUUCGAGUGCGCAGGAGAACAUGAAGUUCUCGAGCACAGCUCCCCAUCAACUCGGUACCCCACGGGUGUAUGGUGGUCGUGAACCUCUCUCUGCCGAGUCCAAAAUAUUUCCAUGUCACGAGUGUCACGCUCAUUAAAAAUUUAUUCGUGGUUUGCAUCUUCGAGGUCGGAGCAGUUCGUACAUCGUUCCCAGCAUGACAGUUCACUAGCCUCCCCGCCCGACCUGGUAGGGUAUUCCUACAGCUCGUGGCAGGCAACUGUGAGUGGCAUGUUUCUUGGUGCAGUGAGGCGGAGUUAGCCGUCGAUGGAAGCAGCAACAAACCGGAUCAUGAGAUCGAGUUAACCCAAUCAGGUAGAACACGG